rnacentral:rRNA from 1 species
UACAGAGGGGGCAAGCGUUGUUCGGAAUUACUGGGCGUAAAGGGCGCGUAGGCGGCCUUCUAAGUCGAACGUGAAAUCCCCGGGCUCAACCCGGGAACUGCGUCCGAUACUGGAAGGCUUGAAUCCGGGAGAGGGAUGCGGAAUUCCAAGUGUAGCGGUGAAAUGCGUAGAUAUCUGGAGGAACACCGGUGGCGAAGGCAGUGAUCUGGGCCGGUACUGACGCUGAGGAGCGAAAGCGUGGGUAGCAAACAGG